GACGAACGCUGGCGGCGUGCUUAACACAUGCAAGUCGAACGGAAAGGCCCUGCUUUUGUGGGGUGCUCGAGUGGCGAACGGGUGAGUAACACGUGAGUAACCUGCCCUUGACUUUGGGAUAACUUCAGGAAACUGGGGCUAAUACCGGAUAGGAGCUCCUGCUGCAUGGUGGGGGUUGGAAAGUUUCGGCGGUUGGGGAUGGACUCGCGGCUUAUCAGCUAGUUGGUGGGGUAGUGGCUUACCAAGGGUUUGACGGGUAGCCGGCCUGGGAGGGUGACCGGGCACAUUGGGACUGAGAUACGGCCCAGACUCCUACGGGAGGCAGCAGUGGGGAAUAUGACACAACGGGCGGAAGCCUGAUGCAGCAACGCCGCGUGCGGGAUGACGGCUUUCGGGUUGUAAACCGCUUUCGCCUGUGACGAAGCGUGAGUGACGGUAAUGGGUAAAGAAGCACCGGCUAACUACGUG
rnacentral:rRNA from 1 species